rnacentral:misc_RNA from 1 species
CUGGGGAAAGCAGUAUUAGUCUUACAUAUCUUCGCACAUACAGGCGCGCAAGCAUGUCAUCCUCAUCGGAACUGGCAACAAGGGCAACGCGCUACCAUGAGCAGUUCGGCCUUCCGUCCUUCGACGAUCAUGUCUUCGUCAUCUUCGGUUAUGGCUCCAUCCUGUGGAAGCAGAACUUUGAGUUCGACGCGGAGUACGAGACGUACAUCAAGGGCUACAAGCGCGUUUUCUACCAGGGCUCACGCGAUCACCGCGGUGUGCCGGACAAGCCGGGCCGCGUGGUGACGCUGCUGCCCUCGGAGGACAAGGAGCAGCGCGUGUACGGCAAGGCGUACCAACUGCCGGCGGACCCUGAGAAGCUGAACAAGAUCUUCCAGGCGUUGGAUGUGCGCGAGAAAGGCGGAUAUGAGCGCCUCUUCGUGACCAUCUACGACGCCCACCCGUCGCUUGCCGCCGACGGCGAGGACCGCCCGCUAAGAUUGGCAGACAAGGGCAUGGACACGUCCGGCAAGGCUAUGGUGUGCCUGUGCUACAACGCCACCGAGGACAACGCCGACUACCUCGGUCCUGCCACGAUGGAGGCCAUGGCACGUCAGAUCCUGAACAGUACCGGGCUGAGCGGGCCGAACCGCGAGUAUUUGUACAACCUCGAUCGUGCGCUGCGGGACAUGGGGGCGGCCGACCCGCACGUCUUCGAGCUCGCGGCGCUGGCAAGGCAGCUGGAGGUCGAGUGCCCGCCUUAAUAUGUGGCGAAGAGAAGAUAUGAGGAGUGUUUUAUGGUGCGGUCGGUGGCGCACCACGGGUUGCACGGGGGCCCUGUGCGCAGCGAACCCCGCCACUGGUGAUGCGUGAUCUGUGAGUGAGUCUGGUGCCAACCUGUUCACGCAUGGAGCCGGCAGAGGGUGCGGACGCGUGUCUUUCAUGUGCACACACUACGUACUUGCGGCUUGUCUAGUGUUGGAGCAAGUGGGCCGGUGCACCGGUGUGCACGCCUCGCUUCCCUCCUCUGCUGUUUGCAGCCGGCCGCUGGUAUGGGCGCGCGGUGAAGGGCUUGCCGAUGUGCAUAUAACCCCCAUGCACCACAUGCACGCCGUCCGUCAGGUAACUCGUGUGUCGAUGGCGUCGCUCUCGCCGAUGCGCCAUCGCUCUGAAGCGCCUGGCCCCCUCUCCUCCCCACC